rnacentral:lncRNA from 1 species
CCAAGAAAUAGCUCCAAAGGUCUGGGUCAAACGAAUAAGUUGUACUCUCACCCUUAUAGAUAAGUUUCCCUUCAUUUACGAAGUUUCCACCGUCACCGUGGUGGAAAACAACUUCAAAAUUUUCUUCCAUGACGUAAAAACAAAACUUAUCUUUUAACCUAUAAAGUAAUAAGGACCACAGCAAAAAGUAUUAACAAUAGAGGCAAACCAGAACCCAAUGAAAAAGACAAUUACACAACAACACUUUAAUAAUGGGGGACCACAUGCAUUUCGAAAAGGAAACAUUAUACAACAUGCAACAGUGUCGGACAACCAUAAAAGGACAAUGAAAAACGCAUUUACUAACCUUUUGCCACGAACACUUUCACUACGAACAAUUUCGCCACUGUCUUCCACGUGCUUCACCGACAACCGCUUCUCUAUUCCACCAAAAUACCACCGAUUAAUCACUCAGAAAUGUUAAAACGAAACCUAUUUACUCACCAACUAUACCAAAUACCAACGUUAUAUCCAAUUGUCCCCCAAAUUCCAACCAAAAAGCAAACCCUCGAAAGAACCCUAUUUUCCCUCUUAUCCCCAAUUAUCCCCAAUGACACACCCAAGUCAGGCUGCUCACCACUAAUCAAUUUUUCUUUUUAGUAAAAACGUUGCGUUUUGAAUUUAAUUUAUAAAUUUUAAAUAUUAAAAAUUAAGCACAACCAGGUAAGAUGACCAUAAUCUGCCACGUCCAAAGCACUUAACCCUGUCACCAACCCACAUGUCAAUUUUCUUAACGCCGUUCACCCAACAUAACGGUAAGCCUUCAAUUGAUUCAAAUUUACAUAAUUAGGGACCAAAUCGAUACUUUUAAAAAUAUGGGGACCAAAUUGAGACAACCGUGCAUAAAUAGGGAUGUCAGAGAUGAUUAAACCAAAAAAAAGUUAAAAAAUAAUAACUGAUAACGGUUGAAAAACAAUUAUUUUCAUAUGUCAAUUUAGACCAAAUUACACCCUUUAAGACUUAGAACGAGCUUAGAAUCAAGUAAAACUCAAUAAAUGAGUCAGUCGAGAGUCAAAAGCUGUUUUUAGCGAUAUUAUGCUUGUUUUGCAUUGUUUUAUAGUGAUUGAUGAAAGUGAAGAUUGGGGUUGAAGAUGAAGGUCUUAGACUCAAGAUAGAGGAAGAAAAUUGAAGAAAAGAAGAGUCAAGAAACCGCUCGGCAGCAAAAUUCACCGCUUGGCGGUCCAAGGCAAGGAGAAGGCACCUGGCAUGGGCAUUGGGCGGAUUUGCGAUUAGAGGCAAACCGUCGGGCGUUUGUGAC